rnacentral:lncRNA from 1 species
AUGGGGUCAAUGUUGUACUAUACAAUCUCUAGCAUGGUGACAGUGGGGAAGAAAACUACCAAGGCUUUUGCAAUCACAGCACACUUAAUUCAGAUAAUAAAGACAUUUUGGAAUUUAGAACUGAGUGGCAUAAUCAGGUUCUAAGGCCCUUGGAGUAAGAGAACCAUAGGAUCAUUAUUGAAUGCAAAGUAUUGAGCAGUGGGACACCUGUGACCAAGUUUUCAGUCUUCAAUAUAGAUAAUACUCUUCAGCAUAUUGUUUCAGACAUAAGGCAAAGUUUAAAAUUUCAGCGAUGCACUCAUUGGAGGACCUAGCAUGGACAUGACUUGAGUUUAAUUCUAAUGCCUACGUAAUCUUCCACAUCCCAGGCUUUUGGUAUUCUGUAGCAGCUACUGCCUACCCCGCGUGGUGAUGUCGUCAACUGUGGGUGUGUGAGGAGGGCUCAGAGGCUAAGCAGAGGAGAGUUGAAGACAGAAAGACAGGAAAGAUGGACAAAGCAUCAUCCUUGAAGAGGUGGCAAGGCAGAAUCCAGAUCACAGGAGCAUUUGUGGCCGUGCAAGUGUCAUCAUAUUGUAUGUUCACAGCCGUUUGUGAGGUUAUCUCUGCUGCAUGUCAAGAAAUGUGUAAGAGUUAUUUUGACAUAGGCUUAAGUGCUGUAGAAGACAACUGUGUGAAGUUUGUUAGUAUAAUAUCCAGUCAGUGCUGCCUUUUAUUCCAAAGAAAUUUUAUUUUAACUUGGAUGUCAAAUUCUCUAGUAAUUACAAAGUUGAAUUUCUAUCAAAUUACAGUGUUGAACAAAAAGAUCAUUUCCGAUGGAAUCUGUCUCAGGAAGUGAGAUGGAAUAACCUAUGAUAUGGAUUAGAAAGUAUCAAUAGAGUCCAUCAAAGAAAAAUAAGAUAAACUUAUAAAAAUGAGUAGUAUGUGCCCUAGGUUCAAUGUCCUUUUAUCUCCUAAUUUAUAAUAGUUAGAAUUUCUUUUAAAAUAUAAUAGUUUCCUUUAAAUUCAGAAAUAAGACAAAGAUGAAUAUUACCACCACUGUUAUCUAAUGGUUUUCUGGAAGUGCUACUAAAUACAAUUUGACAGGAGAAAUGCACAAGAGAUAUACAGAUUUGAAAAGAGGAGACAAAAAUUGUCACUAUUUUUAGAUGAUGAGGAUGCUUAGAAAGCCAAAGAAAAUCAACUGAAAAAUAUUAGCAACUGUAAUUCAGUAAGUUUAUAAAUUCAAUUUAAAAAUACCCAGUUAGAAAAUAUUAGAGAAUAAAGCAUUAGACUUAAGACUAACA